CGAUGACUCCGGAAGAUGGCCGAUGCCGUUAAACAUACUGUAGAAGAAGAAAAAGAGGCGGUCACGCAAAUGAGUCCUCUUCAUUUGAAUUAGCUGAGUGUGAUGCUAUGCUAACUCUGUCUGGCGUUGCUGGCCUCUUCUUUUCAAUUAUCUUUUAAACAUCGUUUAAAUGUUGAAUGUGAAAGUCCCGCAAUGUAGCUGAAACGAUGGGAAAGACCGCCCCAGUUGUUCAGGACAACAAACUUAAUUUCAGCGACAUGAAAUUAUCGAGGGAACAGGAGCAACUUUUGUCAGUGAUUUUGAAAAUCGAAGAGGUUUCUGUAAUUUCCUGAAAGACAACCCCUGCUUGUGGAUACCUGAAGAAGCUGUGUCUGCUCAUCUUUCAGAACUACUGUGCUGGCACUCUAUCUUGAAAGUGUGAUAUGUCGGCAUUAUUUCUGUGAUGACAAGGUAACUUAAUGACCAGUAUGAUAUUGCUGGAGUGAAGUUUGUUGAUGCUGAAAGAGUGAACAACUAAGAUGACCCUUGCAGCAGUUUUGGCAGAAGUGCUGAACUGUGACAUUUACCAUUUGGAAGUGAAAAAGAAAAGAAUGGAGAAGAGGAGACAAUCAUAGUGGUACAGAGUUACUGCGACACACACUGUUACCUGGGACACAUUAGAGUUUAGGACUUACAGUUGCUAUAUAGAAGCUAUCAAGUGGAGAAUUUGAAACUUUCUGACUCAGGCACUGGAGCAGACAGCAAUGUAAUCCAGCUCUCCGGUUUGGCACAGCCUGAGGGAUCGGUCAGGCAGCUGAGUGGAGGCAUAGGUGUGAGGAGAUGGAGGAGCUGCUGGCCAGCUUGUUCCACUGAAACUAAAAUAUCAAGUGACUAACAGCUGAAAAGCAAAACAGAUGGUGUUUGUUUACAGCUUGGAGACUCACAGCUAAUUGGGAAUGCUUCAGGCCAUGGUUUCCAGAACCAGCGGCAAACAACAUAAUGAGUUUUUUUUUGACAUACAGGAAAUUUACCUGCAACCCGUAUAGAGAAAAAGUUUGGAGUAAAUGCCUUAAUAAUGCAUUUGAAUAGAUUAGAUUUUUAUCAUGUUUAGAGUGUUUACUGUCUUGUUUUUAAGCUAAUUUUAAGUGAUACUGUUCACUUGCAAUGUUCAAUGACUUGAAGGUAAAUCUUCACUUUUACUUUUUAAUUGUAUAUACAUGACCAUGCAUUUAGUUCCACAUCCAUGUAUUUACCAUUUGACUCAACUGAUGUUUAUGAGGACUGCAUGGACAGACAAGAGGAAAUGUUUGGUCAAUAAGUGACGCUUUCCAUGGUGCUUAAACAGUUCAUUUCUAUCUAGUACUCACAGAUCUGUGUGGUUGUUCCUGCUGUCUUAUGACUGGAAACAAAAUGGUAACCCAGGAGACCCAGACUUUUUUUUUUUUGGUAGAAAAAGCCAUUCAAUAUGAGCCUCCUGUUGUCUCUGUCCGUGGUGCUGAAACAAGUGCAACUGGGAACAAUUUUUCUCCCUUUUAGCCAUGACUUCUGGAUCAUUCAUUCAUAAUUUUUAAUAAUACUACUACUAUAGUAGUAAUGAUAAUAAUUAUGUAAAUAUUUUAAUGUCCCCUCAGUGAUAGUAUCAAUCUUGAAUAUUUUGUUAAACACUGUAAGAUCAUCUUAAAAUCAAGUAUAUCUAAAGGCAUACACAUGCAGUAUUUUAUUUUAAAUGCAUCUUCCUAAUAAACAUUUUAGUAACACA